rnacentral:rRNA from 1 species
UCCUCCGCAUAUCUACGACAUUUCACUGCUACACGCGGAAUUCCAUCCCCCUCUGCCGUACUCCAGCGAUGCAGUCACAGAUGCAGUUCCCAGGUUGAGCCCGGGGAUUUCACAACUGUCUUACAUCACCGCCUGCGCACGCUUUACGCCCAGUAAUUCCGAUUAACGCUUGCACCCUACGUAUUACCGCGGCUGCUGGCACGUAGUUAGCCGGUGCUUAUUCUUACGGUACCGUCAUUAGCCCCCUUUAUUAGAAAAGGCCGUUUCGUUCCGUACAAAAGCAGUUUACAACCCGAAGGCCUUCAUCCUGCACGCGGCAUGGCUGGAUCAGGCUUGGGCCCAUUGUCCAAAAUUCCCCACUGCUGCCUCCCGUAGGAGUCUGGGCCGUGUCUCAGUCCCAGUGUGGCUGGUCGUCCUCUCAGACCAGCUACAGAUCGAAGGCUUGGUGAGCCUUUACCUCACCAACUACCUAAUCUGCCAUCGGCCGCUCCAUUCGCGCAAGGCCUUGCGGUCCCCUGCUUUCAUCCGUAGAUCAUAUGCGGUAUUAACACAGCUUUCGCUGCGUUAUCCCCCACGAUUGGGCACGUUACGAUGUAUUACUCACCCGUUCGCCACUCGCCGCCAGGAUU